rnacentral:misc_RNA from 1 species
GAAAUGCGAUAAGUAAUGUGAAUUGCAGAAUUCAGUGAAUCAUCGAAUCUUUGAACGCACAUUGCGCCCUCUGGUAUUCCGGGGGGCAUGCCUGUUCGAGCGUCAUUAUAACCACUCAAGCUCUCGCUUGGUAUUGGGGUUCGCGGUUUCGCGGCCCCUAAAAUCAGUGGCGGUGCCUGUCGGCUCUACGCGUAGUAAUACUCCUCGCGAUUGAGUCCGGUAGGUUUACUUGCCAACAACCCCUAAUUUUUUUAAGGUUGACCUCGGAUCAGGUAGGGAUACCCGCUGAGUUUAA